UUGAACUUCAUUGUGUCCACA
rnacentral:siRNA from 1 species